AUUGUAUUCUUUAACCCUUCCUAGCCCCUGUAUUUCCUUUUAGCAACAUUGUAUCUUUUAUCCCAUCCCUUGUAAGUGCCUUCCUGCACCCUAGUGGCACUGAGCCCCAUCUCCCUCACUGCAAACCCUUUGGCUAGUUUUCCCUAUGCCUGCCAUCAUGGUCUCUAACACUUACUUUCCACUCCACACUUUCAAAAACAGUGUUGGGGUUUGUCUCUCUUCAAACAGCCUGUAGUUUUCCAGAAGCAAUAAAACGUACCGCAUCUUACCUUCACACCAGGGCAUGGGCUAAUGCUCUCCUCUUCUGCCCCUUAGAAUCUUGAGCUCAAUACAUGCCUUAUAAAUCUGCAUUGCUUGGGAGCUGGUUGCAGAAUCUUUGGCCCUACCUCCUCAUAUUCUGAAUCAGAAGCUGCAUUUUAUAAGAUACUUGGCUGUUUUUCAGGCAUGCUGCAAUCUGAGAAGCCCGCCCUGGGAGAUGACGCCAGUGUGCUGAGAGCCAACAAGAAGAAAGUCAUUGUGAGUCUGUUUCGAACGCCAGUGAUGUACAUCAAUCACAGCCCUGACAGCAUGAUGCUCCACGGGUUGAGAAGAUUGCAUCUCCAGGGAAAACAGACAAGAGGCGUGUGCUGAGGUCGUCCUUCCGCACCAGACAAACUUGGAACGAAAAAGUGCACAUAACACUUCCUAAAGUAAGGGGCAUUUUAAAGAGCCUAUCCGUGCGGGCAUGCUUGAAAAUUACACGCCAAAGCAUUGCAGUGGUAAGCAAAGGGCACGAAGCUCAGUGCAGACUGGCACGCAUCGGUUAAGCAGAACAUGCGAGUGUACAAGCGUGGGAGGGGGAGGAUGAGGGGAAGUAUCGUGGACAGAAUCCUCAGAAGAAGGUUGCUCCCAACGCUGUUGUUUGCAAGUGCACGCAGAAUUUGAAUCUGCUCCCAGAGAACAUCCUGCAGCUCUCAGGUGCGUCGCUGCUAUUUGUACGGAUGUUCAGGUGGGAAUGCACCCGGUUGGCAUGGGUGAGGGCAGUGGGGGCAUGAGGCAUCGCAGGCCAC
rnacentral:lncRNA from 1 species